UACGAAGGGGGCUAGCGUUGUUCGGAAUUACUGGGCGUAAAGGGCGCGUAGGCGGCGUGUCAAGUCAGGCGUGAAAGCCCCGGGCUCAACCUGGGAACCGCGCUUGAGACUGGCAUGCUCGAGUUCGGGAGAGGAUGGUGGAAUUCCCAGUGUAGAGGUGAAAUUCGUAGAUAUUCGGAAGAACACCAGUGGCGAAGGCGACUGACUGGACAAGUAUUGACGCUGAGGUGCGAAAGCGUGGGGAGCAAACAGG
rnacentral:rRNA from 1 species